AUGUGUGUCGAUGGCGGAUGGCGCGGUCGCACGCAUUGGAGGUGCGGUACGACGCGUCGUCGUCGACAACAACGAGGAUGCCCGUGCCGCCAUGCUUCCGCCUUGAGGGCCUGGAGCAACUCGCCAGUCUUUCGCGAGCUGGCUUGGAGUGGCGAGUUGUUGAACAACGCGCCGGAUUGGGGCGGCAACUUACUCCGUCGGGCUUGGAGGUGGAGCAGUGAGCUGCCUCGGUCGUAUCCGGCGGGCUCGUCAGGCCACCCAGCCAGCUUUUAUGCCGGAAAACUGAUCUUCCGGCCCGUCAGAUGCCAUCGAAAGAGUGGAGAAAAUGGUGGAGGAGAUAGAGAGUGGUGGAGUGGUGCGAUUCUUGCCCGGUGUUUGGCCUUGUUUAAAUAG
rnacentral:rRNA from 1 species